rnacentral:rRNA from 1 species
AACGUAGGUACCGAGCGUUAUCCGGAUUUACUGGGCGUAAAGCGUGCGCAGGCGGCUUCUCAAGUCAGGGGUGAAAGCCCAGAGCUCAACUCUGGAAUUGCCUUUGAGACUGAGUGGCUUGAGUACGAGAGAGGUGAGUGGAAUUCCCAGUGUAGAGGUGAAAUUCGUAGAUAUUGGGAAGAACACCGGUGGCGAAGGCGGCUCACUGGCUCGUAACUGACGCUCAUGCACGACAGCGUGGGGAUCAAACAGG